UCUUAAAUGCUUGCAAGUCGAUCCAAAUGACCGUCCUACUGCUGCUCAACUACUGGAGCACCCAUUUUUGAAGAGAUCAGGUUCUAUGAACUCGGUCCUUGCUUCUCCAGGCUACAACGGCAUGCAAUUGUAACAGCUUUCCAUAAGCUCCCAUGGCAAAGUAUAUGGGAAUCGAUCGGAGAGCAAGUGUGCAUAGUGGUUGUGAAGACAUGUAAACUAUUAGUGUUUUGAUUUUGAUUUGGUUGUAAGUUGCAUUCGUCGUUUGUUUGUUGUAAAGAGUGGGCAUAAUUUGUUUGUAGAGAGAGAGAGAGAGAGAGAAGAUGUACAUAAUUUGGAAAAGAAUAAUAGGAAGGAAAGUUAUUUGAUUGAUGGAGGUGGUCAGCAUUUGUAGCAGUCCUAAAAUCUAUAAGAUUUCUUUGAUGUUUCAA